CUGAUUAUAAACCCUGGAAGAGAAGUGACCUUCACAGUUUAAUAAGGGCAAACUAGCUGAGGGUUCCAGGCUGCUUUUAUCAGGGAGAUCCAAAUGCUGGGCACAGUGUUCCCAUCUCAGGACACAUUACUCCUGACGGUCAUGUCUCUUUAGCGUCCUCUUGGAGGUAAAGUUUCUCGGAGUUCCCUUGGUUUGGGUGACCUUGACCACUUCAAAGAGUACCAGUCAGACAUACUGUAGGCUGUGUUGGCGUUUAUCUGAUGUGUUCUCCCAGGACUAGAUGGGGUCAUGGGCUUUGAAGGAUGCUCACAGAGGUAAUGCGCCAGUUUCAUUCCAUCACGAAGUCUGCCAACAUGAUUUGUGACUCUCGGUGAUGAACCUGUUCGCCUGGCUGCGGUGGUACAGUUUAGACGGUGCUUUUGCAGAAUCGUUUCUCCUUCCCGCCCUUCUGCACUGUUCAGGAAUAAGUCACUAUGCACAGCCACAUGAAUCACCUGUACAUUUCCUCCAUUCAUUAAAAGAAUGAUAUGUGUGCUUCCUUCGGCAGCACAUAUACUAAAAUUGGAAUGAUACAGAGAAGAUUAGCAUGGCCCCUGCGCAUGGAUGACACGCAAAUUCGUGAAGCGUUCCAUUUUUUUUAAAAAAAGAAAAGAAUGAUAUGUACAUUUUUGUUAAUCUUCACUAUAUUGUGCUGAGUAGAUGCUCAACAGGCAAAGUCUGAUGACUCAAGUUCAAUUCCCAGGACCCACAUGGUAGAAGGAGAGAGUCAACUCCUGUAUAUUGUUAUCUGACCCCAUGCACAGGGCUGUGGCCACACACACACACACACACACACACACACACACACACACACACACACACAC